AAACAACUCUCAGCAACGGAUAUCUUGGCUCUUGCAUCGAUGAAGAACGCAGCGAAAUGCGAUACGUAGUGUGAAUUGCAGAAUUCCGCGAAUCAUCGAGUCUUUGAACGCAAGUUGCGCCCGAGGCUUGACCAAGGGCAUUUCUGCCAGAGCGUCAC
rnacentral:rRNA from 1 species